rnacentral:ncRNA from 1 species
UUUAAUUCGAUGCAAAGCAAAAAACCUUAUCAAGACUUGACAUGCCAAGAAUCCUCUAGAGAGAGAGGGAUGCCUUCAAGAACAUGGAUACAGGUGGUGCAUGGUUGUUAUGAGUUCGAAGGAAGGUGAGGAUUAUAUCAAGUCAUCAUGCCCCUUAUGCCCAACUA